UUCCUACUUUUUCUUUCUUCCCCAUAUCGGACUACUGGUUUGAUUGAAUACCACAGGAGGACUCUGUUUGAGCAUGCGCAUUACCCUGUCAGCAUGGAAGAGGAAGUUUAGUUCCAGAAACACCUGAGCAGAACAUGUCUCCUAUUCAAACCGCUACGGAGUGUUGACAGUGAAAGGUGAAAGUGAAAACCAGAGUUCAAUGGCAACGAUCUCAGCUACUGAUCUGGAGCAGCUGGCUGAAAUAGAGCUGCAGAAGGAGGAAGAUGAGGAACAGGGUCGUCACAGCUACCGUCCGGAUCGCCCUCCACCCCCACGUAGAGUCAGCUUCAGCCAGGACACCUCUCACCCCUACUACGAUGUGGCUCGACACGGGAUCCUCCAGGUCACAGGUAACCAGGACACCUCUCACCCCUACUACGAUGUGGCUCGACACGGGAUCCUCCAGGUAAACAGGACACCCCCUACUACGAUGUGGCUCGACACGGGAUCCUCCAGGUAACCAGGACACCCCCUACUACGAUGUGGCUCGACACGGGAUCCUCCAGGUCACAGGUAACCAGGACACCCCCUACUACGAUGUGGCUCGACACGGGAUCCUCCAGGUAACCAGGUAAAUAGGACACCUCCUACUACGAUGUGGCUCGACACGGGAUCCUCCAGGUCACAGGUAAAUAGGACACCUCCUACUACGAUGUGGCUCGACACGGGAUCCUCCAGGUCACAGGUAAACAGGACACCCCCUACUACGAUGUGGCUCGACACGGGAUCCUCCAGGUCACAGGUAAACAGGACACCUCUCACCCCUACUACGAUGUGGCUCGACACGGGAUCCUCCAGGUAACCAGGACACCUCCUACUACGAUGUGGCUCGACACGGGAUCCUCCAGGUAAACAGGUAACCAGGAC
rnacentral:lncRNA from 1 species